rnacentral:rRNA from 1 species
UGGGGAAUUUUGGACAAUGGGCGAAAGCCUGAUCCAACAAUGCCGCGUGUGUGAAGAAGGCCUUCGGGUUGUAAAGCACUUUUGUCCGGAAAGAAAUCCUUGGCUCUAAUACAGUCGGGGGAUGACGGUACCGGAAGAAUAAGCACCGGCUAACUACGUGCCAGCAGCCGCGGUAAUACGUAGGGUGCAAGCGUUAAUCGGAAUUACUGGGCGUAAAGCGUGCGCAGGCGGUUUGCUAAGACCGAUGUGAAAUCCCCGGGCUCAACCUGGGAACUGCAUUGGUGACUGGCAGGCUAGAGUAUGGCAGAGGGGGGUAGAAUUCCACGUGUAGCAGUGAAAUGCGUAGAGAUGUGGAGGAAUACCGAUGGCGAAGGCAGCCCCCUGGGCCAAUACUGACGCUCAUGCACGAAAGCGUGGGGAGCAAACAGGAUUAGAUACCCUGGUAGUCCACGCCCUAAACGAUGUCAACUAGUUGUUGGGGAUUCAUUUCCUUAGUAACGUAGCUAACGCGUGAAGUUGACCGCCUGGGGAGUACGGUCGCAAGAUUAAAACUUAAA